GGGUAUGGCUCAGUUGGUUGAGCAUGGUGCUUGCAACACCAGGAUUGUGGGUUCGAUUCCCAGGGCCACCCA
rfam:Salmo salar isolate Sally breed double haploid chromosome ssa06, whole genome shotgun sequence.